rnacentral:rRNA from 1 species
CGGGUGGUAAUGCCGGAUGCUCCAGUUGACCGCAUGGUCCUCUGGGAAAGCUUUUGCGGUAUGGGAUGGGGUCGCGUCCUAUCAGCUUGAUGGCGGGGUAACGGCCCACCAUGGCUUCGACGGGUAGCCGGCCUGAGAGGGCGACCGGCCACAUUGGGACUGAGAUACGGCCCAGACUCCUACGGGAGGCAGCAGUGGGGAAUAUUGCACAAUGGGCGCAAGCCUGAUGCAGCGACGCCGCGUGCGGGAUGACGGCCUUCGGGUUGUAAACCGCUUUUGACUGGGAGCAAGCCCUUCGGGGUGAGUGUACCUUUCGAAUAAGCACCGGCUAACUACGUGCCAGCAGCCGCGGUAAUACGUAGGGUGCAAGCGUUAUCCGGAAUUAUUGGGCGUAAAGGGCUCGUAGGCGGUUCGUCGCGUCCGGUGUGAAAGUCCAUCGCUUAACGGUGGAUCCGCGCCGGGUACGGGCGGGCUUGAGUGCGGUAGGGGAGACUGGAAUUCCCGGUGUAACGGUGGAAUGUGUAGAUAU